rnacentral:rRNA from 1 species
CUUACACAUGCAGUCGAACGCGAACGUCUUCUUCGGAAGGCUAGUAGAGUGGCGCACGGGUGAGUAACGCGUAGAUAACCUACCCUUAUGUCUGGGAUAACCCACCGAAAGGUGGACUAAUACCGGAUAUGCUUGUUUUUCAUAAGUUUUACAAGCAAAGGUGGCCUCUGAUUUAAGCUACUGCAUGAGGAGGGGUCUGCGUACCAUUAGCUUGUUGGUGGGGUAAUGGCCUACCAAGGCUUCGAUGGUUAGCGGGUCUGAGAGGAUGAUCCGUCACACUGGCACUGAAACACGGGCCAGACUCCUACGGGAGGCAGCAGGGAGGAAUAUUGCGCAAUGGGGGAAACCCUGACGCAGCGACGCCGCGUGAGUGAGGAAGGCUUUCGGGUCGUAAAGCUCUGUCAAGAGGGAAGAAGUGCAUAUUGGUUAAUAUCCAUUAUGUUUGACGGUACCUCUAAAGGAAGCACCGGCUAACUCCGUGCCAGCAGCCGCGGUAAUACGGAGGGUGCAAGCGUUGUUCGGAAUUACUGGGCGUAAAGGGCGCGCAGGCGGUUUGAUUAGUCAGAUGUGAAAGCCCACGGCUCAACCGUGGAAGUGCAUUUGAAACUGUCAGACUUGAGUAUCAGAGGGGAAAGUGGAAUUCCUGGUGUAGAGGUGAAAUUCGUAGAUAUCAGGAGGAAUACCGGUGGCGAAGGCGACUUUCUGGCUGAAUACUGACGCUGAGGCGCGAAAGCGUGGGGAGCAAACAGGAUUAGAUACCCUGGUAGUCCACGCCGUAAACGAUGUCAACUAGAUGUAGGGGGGUGUUGAUCCCCUCUGUGUCGCAGCUAACGCAUUAAGUUGACCGCCUGGGGAGUACGGUCGCAAGAUUAAAACUCAAGAAAUUGACGGGGGCCCGCACAAGCGGUGGAGUAUGUGGUUUAAUUCGAUGCAACGCGAAGAAUCUUACCUGGUCUUGACAUCCCGGGAAUCUUUCUGGAAACAGAAGAGUGCCUUCAUUAGAAGGAGCCUGGUGACAGGUGCUGCAUGCUGUCGUCAGCUCAUGUCGUGAAAUGUUUGGGUUAAGUCCCCCAACGAGCGGCACACCCUUUGCCUUUAAUUUGUCGGGCAGGUC